CCUACGGGAGACAGCAGUGAGGAAUAUUGGUCAAUGGUCGGGAGACUGAACCAGCCAAGCCGCGUGAGGGAUGAAGGUACAGAGUAUCGUAAACCUCUUUUGUCAGGGAACAAAGGCGGGGACGCGUCCCCUGAUGAGUGUACCUGAAGAAAAAGGAUCGGCUAACUCCGUGCCAGCCGCCGCGGUAAUACGGAGGAUGCGAGCGUUAUCCGGAUUUAUUGGGUUUAAAGGGUGCGCAGGCGGGCUUUUAAGUCAGCGGUGAAAGGCCGGGGCUCAACCCCAGCACCGCCGUUGAAACUGGCAGUCUCGAGUUGGAGAGAGGUAUGCGGAAUGCGCGGUGUAGCGGUGAAAUGCAUAGAUAUCGCGCAGAACUCCGAUUGCGAAGGCAGCCUGCCAGGUCCACACUGACGCUGAGGCACGAAAGCGUGGGGAUCGAACAGGAUUAGAUACCCUUGUAGUC
rnacentral:rRNA from 1 species